rnacentral:rRNA from 1 species
UACGUAGGGGGCAAGCGUUGUCCGGAUUUAUUGGGCGUAAAGAGCGUGUAGGCGGCUUUACAGGUCCGUUGUGAAAACUCGAGGCUCAACCCUCGAGACGUCGGUUGAAACCGUCUGGCUAGAGUCCGGAAGAGGAGAGUGGAAUUCCCGGUGUAGCGGUGAAAUGCGCAGAUAUCGGGAAGAACACCCGUGGCGAAGGCGGCUCUCUGGGACGGUACUGACGCUGAGACGCGAAAGCGUGGGGAGCGAACAGG